AUUGAACGCUGGCGGAAUGCUUUACACAUGCAAGUCGAACGGUAGAGGGGGCAACCCCUUGAGAGUGGCGAACGGGUGAGUAAUAUAUCGGAACGUGCCCAGUCGUGGGGGAUAACGUAGCGAAAGUUACGCUAAUACCGCAUACGUCCUGAGGGAGAAAGCGGGGGACCGUAAGGCCUCGCGCGAUUGGAGCGGCCGAUGUCAGAUUAGCUAGUUGGUGGGGUAAAGGCCCACCAAGGCGACGAUCGGUAGGGGGCCUGAGAGGGUGAUCCCCCACACUGGUACUGAGACACGGUCCAGACUCCUACGGGAGGCAGCAGUGGGGAAUUUUGGACAAUGGACGCAAGUCUGAUCCAGCCAUUCCGCGUGCAGGACGAAGGCCUUCGGGUUGUAAACUGCUUUUGUACAGAACGAAAAGGUCUCUAUUAAUACUAGGGGCUCAUGACGGUACUGUAAGAAUAAGCACCGGCUAACUACGUG
rnacentral:rRNA from 1 species